CCUGACCUUCCUAUCAGUAAAACAAAAUCCUAUUUAAAAAAAUUAUUUAAAACAACCCUUAUUAAUAAGUAUGUACUUGUAUAUGAAAACCACUAAUAAGUCAUAUUCCUGCCUAAAAUUAAAUUAUCAAGGUUUAUAGAAAAAUUCUCAGAAUUAUUUCUUGUAAGAUACCAAAAAAAAAAACUAAUUAUUGUCAAUAACAGGAAAGCUAUAUAUAGUAAGGAAUGCUAUUCAAUGUUAUAGUCCCUACAUAUUUUAUCUCUAUACUGUCCAUGCUCAUAUACCCAAGUCACAAUAAUCACAAUAUCAUCAUCACUAUCUACUAAAUCACCCCCCUGAAAGUUAAGACAAUUCAUGCUAUCAGCCGGAGAUAAAGAAUGGAGAAAAAAAAAAUAUGUCAGUCAUAAAUUUAGAAAAAUGAAUUAUAAAAUAUGUGAAUAUUUAACAAAAAAAAAUGAAAUGUUGCAUUACACCACCUGUAUGUUAUGCACUGAAAUGUCGAUAUUUAAAAUAAAAUACUGUUACAUAACUUGCCAUGAACAUUAGCCACCGCCAAAUUCAAAAUUUACAAUACAUUAGAAAAUAAAAAAAAGUAUCAGAAACUUAGUUAUCUUAACCUUUAAAAAAUCAUCACACCCAAAAGAAUUUAUCACAAUUCCAUGAAACUUCACCCCCAAUUAUCAUCAUAUACCUAGCUAUGAAAAUUUUAAAACAACCCUAGAGAAGAUGCAGCAAUGCCCAAUGUACAAAAAAAUUAUAUCUAUAUAUAUAUAUUAAAAUUGCUGAAAUAAAUUUAAAUUUUUGUUUUAUUAAAAGUGUCUUACCCCAAGAUAAGUGAGGAUGACCAAUGACAACUUUUGACCACCCCACGUUGGGCGCCAUCUUCUUAUGUUAUAAAUAUUAUCCCGGCAAGACUAUCCGGUUUACAGGGGCUAUUUCUA